GAUGAACGCUGGCGGCGUGCCUAAUACAUGCAAGUCGAGCGAACAGACGAGGAGCUUGCUCCUCUGACGUUAGCGGCGGACGGGUGAGUAACACGUGGAUAACCUACCUAUAAGACUGGGAUAACUUCGGGAAACCGGAGCUAAUACCGGAUAAUAUAUUGAACCGCAUGGUUCAAUAGUGAAAGACGGUUUUGCUGUCACUUAUAGAUGGAUCCGCGCCGCAUUAGCUAGUUGGUAAGGUAACGGCUUACCAAGGCAACGAUGCGUAGCCGACCUGAGAGGGUGAUCGGCCACACGGGAACGGAGACACGGUCCAGACUCCUACGGGAGGCAGCAGUAGGGAAUCGGCCGCAAUGGGCGAAAGCUUGACGGAGCAACGCCGCGUGAGUGAUGAAGGUCUUCGGAUCGUAAAACUCUGUUAUUAGGGAAGAACAAAUGUGUAAGUAACUAUGCACGUCUUGACGGUACCUAAUCAGAAAGCCACGGCUAACUACGUG
rnacentral:rRNA from 1 species